rnacentral:rRNA from 1 species
AGAGUUUGAUCCUGGCUCAGGACGAACGCUGGCGGCGCGCCUAACACAUGCAAGUCGAACGAGCGAGAGAGAGCUUGCUUUCUCGAGCGAGUGGCGAUCGGGUGUGUAACGCGUGAGGAACCUGCCUCAAAGAGGGGGACAACAGUUGGAAACGACUGCUAAUACCGCAUAAGCCCACGGUGCCGCAUGGCACAGAGGGAAAAGGAGCAAUCCGCUUUGAGAUGGCCUCGCGUCCGAUUAGCUAGUUGGUGAGGUAACGGCCCACCAAGGCGACGAUCGGUAGCCGGACUGAGAGGUUGAACGGCCACAUUGGGACUGAGACACGGCCCAGACUCCUACGGGAGGCAGCAGUGGGGAAUAUUGCACAAUGGGGGAAACCCUGAUGCAGCGACGCCGCGUGGAGGAAGAAGGUCUUCGGAUUUAAACUCCUGUUGUUGAGGAAGAUAAUGACGGUACUCAACAAGGAAGUGACGGCUAACUACGUGCCAGCAGCCGCGGUAAAACGUAGGUCACAAGCGUUGUCCGGAAUUACUGGGUGUAAAGGGAGCGCAGGCGGGAAGACAAGUUGGAAGUGAAAUCCAUGGGCUCAACCCAUGAACUGCUUUCAAAACUGUUUUUCUUGAGUAGUGCAGAGGUAGGCGGAAUUUCCGGUGUAGCGGUGGAAUGCGUAGAUAUCGGGAGGAACACCAGUGGCGAAGGCGGCCUACUGGGCACCAACUGACGCUGAGGCUCGAAAGUGUGGGUAGCAAACAGGAUUAGAUACCCUGGUAGUCCACACUGUAAACGAUGAUUACUAGGUGUUGGAGGAUUGACCCCUUCAGUGCCGCAGUUAACACAAUAAGUAAUCCACCUGGGGAGUACGACCGCGAGGUUGAAACUCAAAGGAAUUGACGGGGGCCCGCACAAGCAGUGGAGUAUGUGGUUUAAUUCGACGCAACGCGAAGAACCUUACCAAGUCUUGACAUCCAUCGACGACUAUAGAAAUAUAGUUUUCCUUCGGGACGGUGAGACAGGUGGUGCAUGGUUGUCGUCAGCUCGUGUCGUGAGAUGUUGGGUUAAGUCCCGCAACGAGCGCAACCCUUAUGGUCAGUUACUACGCAAGAGGACUCUGGCCAGACUGCCGUUGACAAAACGGAGGAAGGUGGGGAUGACGUCAAAUCAUCAUGCCCUUUAUGACUUGGGCUACACACGUACUACAAUGGCGUUAAACAAAGAGAAGCAAGACCGCGAGGUGGAGCAAAACUCAGAAACAACGUCCCAGUUCGGACUGCAGGCUGCAACUCGCCUGCACGAAGUCGGAAUUGCUAGUAAUCGCAGAUCAGCAUGCUGCGGUGAAUACGUUCCCGGGCCUUGUACACACCGCCCGUCACAC